AGAACGAACGCUGGCGGCAGGCCUAAUACAUGCAAGUCGAACGCCCCGCAAGGGGAGUGGCGCACGGGUGAGUAACGCGUGGGAAUAUGCCCCUGACUGCGGAACAACGUCUGGAAACGGACGCUAAUACCGCAUAAUGUCUACGGACCAAAGAUUUAUCGGUCAGGGAGUAGCCCGCGUUGGAUUAGCUAGUUGGUGAGGUAAUGGCUCACCAAGGCGACGAUCCAUAGCUGGUCUGAGAGGAUGAUCAGCCACACUGGGACUGAGACACGGCCCAGACUCCUACGGGGGGCAGCAGUAGGGAUUUUCCACAAUGGGCGAAAGCCUGAUGGAGCAACGCCGCGUGCAGGAUGAAGGCUUUCGGGUCGUAAACUGCUUUUCUUUGUGAGGAUUAUGACAGUAGCAGAGGAAUAAGGAUCGGCUAACUCCGUGCCAGCAGCCGC
rnacentral:rRNA from 1 species